AUGUUUGACAAGACUCAUGUGACGGUUGCAACUUCUGCGAUCCUAGGUGAGCAUAUAGAAGACCCCACUGAUCUCUUUGAGGUUGAGGAUGGCAACAAUGAUCUGGAAAGCAACAAGGCACCUGGCCAGAAAACAAAGGAAGUUGAAAAGCAGAGGGCCGCUGCCAUUGCUGCUAGUCCAAAGAAGAAACGGAAGCAACAAAAGGCCGAGGCAUAUGGCAAACAUAAUGGCUGCCUGGCUGGUAGCACUUCGGUGACAUCUUCUACUGAUGUUCCAAGAGGCCAUGGGAUUAAAGACGUCAUCAAGUUGGCUGGGCAAUCUGGGGCGAAGGAAUGCAGCGAUCUGUUCUUCACGGUCACCAAGCUUUUCAUGAAUGUGGAUUAUAGAGAGAUGUUUAGUGCUUUGGAGACCAAUGAAGGAAGGCUCAAUUGGCUGAACAUGAUGCAUGAAUAG
rnacentral:rRNA from 1 species